rnacentral:rRNA from 1 species
AUUGAACGCUGGCGGCAUGCUUUACACAUGCAAGUCGAACGGCAGCGCGGGCUUCGGCCUGGCGGCGAGUGGCGAACGGGUGAGUAAUGCAUCGGAACGUGCCCAGUAGUGGGGGAUAGCCCGGCGAAAGCCGGAUUAAUACCGCAUACGACCUGAGGGUGAAAGCGGGGGACCGAAAGGCCUCGCGCUAUUGGAGCGGCCGAUGUGGGAUUAGCUAGUUGGUGGGGUAAAGGCUGACCAAGGCGACGAUCCGUAGCUGGUCUGAGAGGACGACCAGCCACACUGGGACUGAGACACGGCCCAGACUCCUGCGGGAGGCAGCAGUGGGGAAUUUUGGACAAUGGGGGCAACCCUGAUCCAGCCAUGCCGCGUGCGGGAAGAAGGCCUUCGGGUUGUAAACCGCUUUUGUUCGGGAAGAAAUCCUCUGGGCUAAUACCCCGGGGGGAUGACGGUACCGGAAGAAUAAGCACCGGCUAACUACGUG